UGGGGAAUCUUGCACAAUGGGGGAAACCCUGAUGCAGCGACGCCGCGUGAACGAUGAAGCCCUUCGGGGUGUAAAGUUCUUUCGACAGGAACGAUAAUGACGGUACCUGGAGAAGAAGCUGCGGCUAACUACGUGCCAGCAGCCGCGGUAAUACGUAGGCAGCGAGCGUUGUUCGGAGUUACUGGGCGUAAAGAGUGCGUAGGCGGCGAGCCAAGUUUGGUGUGAAAUCUCCCGGCUUAACCGGGAGGGUGCGCCGAAAACUGGUUGGCUGGAGUAUGGGAGAGGAAAGCGGAAUUCCUGGUGUAGCGGUGAAAUGCGUAGAUAGCAGGAGGAACACCUGCGGUGUAGACAGCUUUCUGGACCAAAACUGACGCUGAGGCACGAAAGCGUGGGUAGCAAACA
rnacentral:rRNA from 1 species